CCUGUUUAAGCAUGUAGGAGGAGUUGCCAGGCAAAUCCGGCAGCUCUUAACUCCGAGGUGUGAUGACGAGGCUCCACGCGAGCCGAAGUGAAUAACGCCCCGCUUCCAGGAAAAGCCUCUAAGCUUCAGAUCACAUUGGACCGUACCGUAAACCGACACUGGUGGGUGAGCAGAUAAUCUGCCAAGGCGCUUGAGAGAACUCGGGUUAAGGAACUCUGCAAAUUGAUACCGUAACUUCGGAAGAAGGUAUGCCUUCGACGGUGUAGGGAUUUACUCCCGAAGCUGUUGAAGGUCGCAGGUAAUCGGUGGCUGCGACUGUUUAUCAAAAACACAGGACUCUGCGAACACGCAAGUGGAAGUAUAGGGUCUGACGCCUGCCCGGUGCCGGAAGGUUAAUUGAUGGGGUUAGCCGCAAGGCGAAGCUCUUGAUCGAAGCCCCGGUAAACGGCGGCCGUAACAAUAACGGUCCUAAGGUAGCGAAAUCCCUUGUCGGGUAAGUUCCGACCUGCACGAAUGGCGUAACGCUGGCCACACUGUCUCGACCCGAGACUCAGUGAAGUUGAAAUCGCUGUGAAGAUGCGGCGUUCCCGCGGCAAGACGGAAAGACCCCGUGAACCUUCACUACAGCUUUACACUGAACUUUGAACCUUUCUGUGUAGGAUAGGUGGGAGGCUAAAACUUGGGCGCUAGCUCGAGUGGAGCCAACCUUGAAAUACCACCCUGGGAUGUUUGAAGUUCUAACCUUGGUCCGUAAUCCGGAUUGGGGACAGUGUAUGGUGGGUAGUUUGACUGGGGCGGUCUCCUCCCAAAGAGUAACGGAGGAGUGCAAUGGUACGCUCAGCGCGGUCGGUCAUCGCGCUCUAGAGUGCAAAGGCAUAAGCGUGCUUAACUGUGAGACAGACACGUCGAACAGGUACGAAAGUAGGUCUUAGUGAUCCGGUGGUUCUGUAUGGAAGGGCCAUCGCUCAACGGAUAAAAGGUACUCCGGGGAUAACAGGCUUAUUCCUCCCAAGAGUCCACAUCGACGGAGGAGUUUGGCACCUCGAUGUCGGCUCAUCACAUCCUGGGGCUGUAGCAGGUCCCAAGGGUAUGGCUGUUCGCCAUUUAAAGUGGUACGCGAGCUGGGUUCAGAACGUCGUGAGACAGUUCGGUCCCUAUCUGCCGUGGGCGUUGGAAACUUGAGGGUGAGCUGUCCUUAGUACGAGAGGACCGGGAUGGACGUAUCUCUGGUGUUCCGGUUGUCACGCCAGUGGCACUGCCGGGUAGCUAUAUACGGACGGGAUAAGCGCUGAAAGCAUCUAAGCGCGAAGCCCCCCCCAAGAUUAGGUUUCCCUGGGAACUCGAUUCCCCUAAAGGGCCGUCGGAGACUACGACGUUGAUAGGCUGGGUGUGUAAGUGCAGCAAUGCAUUGAGCUAACCAGUACUAAUUGCCCGUGAGGCUUGACCGA
rnacentral:rRNA from 1 species